rnacentral:rRNA from 1 species
AUUGAACGCUAGCGGGAUGCCUAACACAUGCAAGUCGAACGGAGUGGCGGACGGGUGAGUGAUGUAAAGGCAUGUGCACAGUAGCGGGGGAUAAGUAAGCGAAAGGGUAGCUAACACCGCAUACUAAUGGAGUGGACGUAAACGGAGUAGCGAGUGGGAGGGGUAAGGGCUCACCAAGGCGACGAUCCGUAGCUGGUUUGAGAGGACGACCAGCAACACUGGGACUGAGACACGGCCCAGACUCCUACGGGAGGCAGCAGUGGGGAAUUUUGGACAAGGGGGGAAACCCUGACGCAGCCAUCCCGCGUGUGCGAUGAAGGCCUUCGGGUGGUAAAGCUCUUUUGGCAGGGAGGCGGUACCUGCAGAGUAAGCACCGGCUAACUACGUGCCAGCAGCCGCGGUAAUUC